AUUGAACGCUGGCGGCAGGCCUAACACAUGCAAGUCGAACGAGUGGCGGACGGGUGAGUAAUGUCUGGGAAACUGCCCGAUGGAGGGGGAUAACUACUGGAAACGGUAGCUAAUACCGCAUACCAUCGGAUGUGCCCAGAUGGGAUUAGCUUGUAGGUGAGGUAACGGCUCACCUAGGCGACGAUCCCUAGCUGGUCUGAGAGGAUGACCAGCAACACGGGAACGGAGAUACGGGCGAGAGUCCUACGGGAGGCAGCAGGGGGGAAUAUGGCACAGUGGGCGCAAGCCUGAUGCAGCCAUGCCGAGUGUAUGAAGAAGGCCGUCGGGUUGUAAAGGACGUUCAGCGGGGAGGCGUUACCCGCAGAAGAAGCACCGGCUAACUCCGUGCCAGCAGCAGCGGUAAUUC
rnacentral:rRNA from 1 species